AUUGAACGCUGGCGGAAUGCUUUACACAUGCAAGUCGAACGGCAGCACGGGGGCAACCCUGGUGGCGAGUGGCGAACGGGUGAGUAAUACAUCGGAACGUGCCCAGUCGUGGGGGAUAACGUAGCGAAAGUUACGCUAAUACCGCAUACGAUCUACGGAUGAAAGCGGGGGACCGUAAGGCCUCGCGCGAUUGGAGCGGCCGAUGUCAGAUUAGGUAGUUGGUGAGGUAAAGGCUCACCAAGCCGACGAUCUGUAGCUGGUCUGAGAGGACGACAAGCCACACUGGGACUGGGACACGGCCCAGACUCCUACGGGAGGCAGCAGUGGGGAAUUUUGGACAAUGGGCGCAAGCCUGAUCCAGCCAUUCCGCGCGCAGGACGAAGGCCUUCGGGUUGUAAACUGCUUUUGUACGGAACGAAAAGGCUCUGGUUAAUACCUGGGGCUCAUGACGGUACCGUAAGAAUAAGCACCGGCUAACUACGUGCCAGCCGCCGCCGUAA
rnacentral:rRNA from 1 species